rnacentral:lncRNA from 1 species
AUGCAUGCGUGCGUGUGUGUGUGUAGGCGUGCUUCCAGUAGUUCCUGGCUACUAAUUUUCAGCAGUGUUUUCUCAGCUGCAGUUUCCAUGAGAGAAGAGAAAAUGUUUUCAUGGAUUUACUGCUAUUACUCCUCCUCCUCCUCCUCCUCCUUGACCUCCUCCACCUCCUCGUCCUCAUCCUCCUUGUCUUCCUCCACCUCCUCCCACUCCUCCUCGUCCUCAUCCUCCUUUUCCUCCCACUCCUGCUCGUCCUCCUUGUCCUCUUCCUCCUCUUCCUUGUCCUCGUCUUCCUCGUCCUCCUCAUUGUCCUCCUCGUCCUCGCCCCCUCCUCCUUUUCCUUCUCCUCCUCAGCCUCCUCCUCCUCUUCCUUCUCCUCUUCCUCUUCCUCCUCCUUCUCCUCUUCGUCCUCCUACUCUUCCUUGUCCUCCUACUCCUCCUCGUCCUCCUUCUCUUCCUACUCCAACUCGUCCUCCUUCUCUUCCUCGUCCUCCUCCUCCUACUCCUCUUCGUCCUCCUACUCCUCCUCCUCCUCCUCUUCCUCCUCCUCUUCCUCUUCCUCCUCCUACUCAUCCUCCUACUCCUCCUCGUCCUCUUUCUCUUCCUCAUCCUCCUCCUCCUCCUACUCCUCCUCGUCCUCCUUCUCUUCCUACUCCUCCUCGUCCUCCUCCUCUUCCUACUCCUCCUCGUCCUCCUCCUCUUCCUACUCCUCCUCGUCCUCCUCCUCUUCCUAAUCCUCCUCCUCCUCUUCUUCCUCUUCCUCAUCCUCCUCCUUCUCCUCCUACUCCUCCUCGUCCUCCUUCUCUUCCUACUCCUCCUCGUCCUCCUCCUCUUCCUACUCCUCCUCGUCCUCCUCCUCUUCCUAAUCCUCCUCCUCCUCCUCUUCUUCCUCUUCCUCUUCCUCAUCCUCCUCCUUCUCCUCCUACUCCUCAUCGUCCUCCUUCUCUUCCUAAUCCUCCUCCUCCUCCUCUUCUUCCUCUUCCUCCUCCUCCUCCUUCUCCUCCUACUCUUCAUCGUCCUCCUUCUCUUCCUAAUCCUCCUCCUCCUCCUCUUCUUCCUCUUCCUCUUCCUCAUCCUCCUCCUUCUCCUCCUACUCCUCCUCGUCCUCCUUCUCUUCCUACUCCUCCUCGUCCUCCUCCUCUUCCUAAUCCUCCUCCUCCUCCUCCUCCUUCUCCUCCACGUCGACCGUGA